GAUGAACGCUAGCUACAGGCUUAACACAUGCAAGUCGAGGGGCAGCAUGCUGGUAGCUUGCUACCAGUGAUGGCGACCGGCGCACGGGUGAGUAACGCGUAUCCAACCUUCCCAUGACCAGGGAAUAACCUUGCGAAAGUAAGACUAAUGCCCUAUGGUUUCCUCAGCGGACAUCCAAAGAGGAAUAAAGAUUCAUCGGUGAUGGAUGGGGAUGCGUCUGAUUAGGUUGUUGGCGGGGUAACGGCCCACCAAGCCAUCGAUCAGUAGGGGUUCUGAGAGGAAGGUCCCCCACAUUGGAACUGAGAUACGGCCCAGACUCCUACGGGAGGCAGCAGUGGGGAAUAUUGGGCAAUGGGCGCAAGCCUGACCCAGCAACGCCGCGUGAAGGAAGAAGGCUUUCGGGUUGUAAACUUCUUUUAAGAGGGAAGAGCAGAAGACUGUACCUCUAGAAUAAGCCACGGCUAACUACGUG
rnacentral:rRNA from 1 species